rnacentral:lncRNA from 1 species
UGUGUUCUUUUUUUUUUUUAUGCUAGGCUGGGGAGCAGUGACAUUAAACAUACAUAUCGGUUCUAGAUAAGGUUUCUAUUUCGCUGUUGCAAACAUCAACAAUACCACCGCAAACAAUAACAACAAAAACAACAGAUGUAGCUGUAAAAAAUAUGACACCAUUUUGCCAAUUUGGAACAACUCCAUUAACUUCAAUCUGAAACCAUUCCAGUUCACUGUCCCCUAGAGUGCAAUGUGUCUAAUCACAAUUUUUUCUCUGACACCUCUUAGCUUCUCUGAUGAAAUAUCUAAAUAAUUAAUUCCUUCCAAUGACUACUCUUCAUACACUAAGUAACCUUCUUGAGCCAGCAAGGAAGCUUCUUUGUAGCCACUAGACCUGCUAAAAAUAGCAGCCAAAUAACUUUCAAAAUAACAAUCUGCGGUCUAAUGAAAACAGAAGAAGGGAAGAAUACAUUAGAGGAUAUGGCCUUUUUGAAUAUAAAGAACCAAAUGGUUAUGGCUGGAAUAGUUUUUACCAUUGGGCUGCAACAGAAUCAGGGUUGCUUUGGGAGUUAGGUGACAACAAGACCUAAAGAAAAUAGCUGGUAAAUUGUUCUUGAAAUGAAUUCUACCAUCACAAAUUAAGGCAGAUUAAUUGAAUUAUGUAACUCUGGAUACAAUAUGCCUGAAAUAAAAGGCAGAAUAUUUACAACUUUGAAGGACUUUGCUUUCAUUUCACUGAGUCCAUUUGAGCAGAACAAUUCAUUCAAAAAUGCACAAAGGCUGUUAACUUCAUUUAAAUCUUUGUUCCUAAUAUGGUGUUAAGAUUUAAGGCAGUGAGAUGACAGAAUUGACAAAAGGUGGUGAGCUGGCAGAAACGUUAGCAUGCUGGGUGAAAUGCUUAGCAGUAUUUCAUCUGCCGUUACGUUCUGAGUUCAAAAAGGUCGACUUUGCCUUUCAUCCUUUCGGGGUUGAUUAAAUAAGUACCAGUUAUGCACUAGGGUCGAUAUAAUCGACUUAAUCUGUUUGUCUGUCCUUGUUUGUCCCCUCUGUGUGUAGCCCCUUGUGGGCAGAAAAGAUAUAAGAAUUGCUAGUGCACCAAGCAAAAGUGCUUAGCAGCAUUUUAUCUGUCUCUCCAUUCUGAGUUCAAAUCCGACUGAGGCUGACUUUGCCUUCCGUCCUUUUGAGGGCUGAUAAAAUAAUUACCAGCCAAGCACUGGGGUUGAUGCAAUCAACUUGCCCCCCCCCCCCCCCACAAAUAGCUGGAAUUGUACCAAAAUACGAAACCAAUUUAGUAUAAAAAUUUUUAUCACUCAAAAGUGCAAUCUGUUCACUGAAAAAAACGUGCAACAUAUUUUUAUUUUCAGCGAACAGGUCACAGUUUUGAGCAACAAAAAUUUCAACACUAUUUUACAAGUAAAUGUUUAAGUAAAGUUAACAGUUUUUGCUUGUUGCUGGAUGGCUAACUUGUAUCUUCCAUGCUGCAGUCACUUUAUGAUGUUAUUAGUUUAUUAUGGCUUAGUAUUUUUCACUCAUGUACUUAUUGAAUAUAACCACUUAAAUGUUUCUGGCAAACAAGUUUCUCAUCUAUGAAAAGAUGUUUUAUCUGCUUAACACUACAAAGAAUUUAGAACUACUGACUCUUAGCACCAUUAAAUGUAAGCAGAAUUGAUAUAAAUAAAGUAUAAGGCAGUCAGCUGGCAAAGUCAUUAGCAUGCAAGGCAAAACGCUGAGCAGCAUUUGAUCCAUCUUUGCAUUCUGGGUUCAAAUCCUGCCAAGGUUGACUUUGGCUUUCAUCCUUUCAGGAUUGUGGAGGCACAUGGCCUAGUGGUUAGAGCUGCGAACUUGCAGUCGAGGGAUCGCAGGUUCGAAUCUCAGACCAGGCGAUGUGUGUGUUCAUGAGUGAAACACCUAAGCUCCAUGCGGCACCGGCAGAAGGUAAUGGCAAGCGUCUGCUGACUCUUUCACCACAACUUUCUCUCACUCUUUCCUCCUGCAUCUUGCAGCUCACCUGCGACGGACUGGCAUCCCAUCCAGGUGGGGAACCUAUAUGCCAAGGAAACUGGGAAACUGGCCCUUGUGAGCCAGGCAUGGCUCGAGAAGGAAAUCUUGCAGGAUUGAUAAAAUAAGUACCAGUUUAGUACUGGGGUUGAAUUAAUCAACUCUCACCAUCUCCUGAACUUGCUGGCCCGGUACCAAAAUUUGAAGCCAAUAUGAAUAAAGUACUGGAUUAUAAAAUGGUAGCACUUGAGUUCAGAUAUGUUGUAUGUAUGUUGCUAUGUUUCUGAACAGAAAUUGAAAUUAGAUGCUGAUGCUGGAUGUGUUGUUAUUUUGAAUUCUUUACUUGCCAUCCUUAGAUGCUGCUGCAUUUAAAUGAACAUGAACUAGGGCAGCGAGCUGGCAGAAAUGUUAGCACACCGGGUGAAAUGUUUGGCACCAUUUCGUCUGUCUUUAUGUUCUGAGUUCAAAUUCCGCUGACGUUGACUUUGCUUUUCAUCCUUUCGGGGUCGAUUAAAUAAGUACCAAUUACGCACUGGGGGUCAAUGUGAUCGACUUAAUCUCCUUGUAUAUCCCCUCUAUGUUUAGCCCCCUGUGGGCAAUAAAGAGAUUAA